CCUACGGGUGGCAGCAGUGGGGAAUAUUGCACAAUGGGGGAAACCCUGAUGCAGCGACGCCGCGUGAGUGAAGAAGUAUUUCGGGUUGUAAAGCUCUAUCAGCAGGGAAGAGAAUGACGGUACCUGACUUAGAUGCCCCGGCUAACUACGUGCCAGCAGCCGCGGUAAUACGGAGGGGGCAAGCGUUAUCCGGAUGUACGGGGUGUAAAGGGUGCGUAGGGGGCAGGGCAAGUCAGAUGUGAAAGCCCGCGGCUCAACCCCGGUAUUGCAUUUGAAACUGUCCAGCUUGAGUGCAGGAGAGGUAAGCGGAAUUCCUAGUGUAGCGGUGAAAUGCGUAGAUAUUAGGAGGAACACCAGUGGCGAAGGCGGAUUACUGGACUGUAACUGACGGUGAGGCACGAAAGCGUGGGGAGCAAACAGGAUUAGAUACCCGAGUAGUC
rnacentral:rRNA from 1 species